GUUGCAUCUCAUGGGAACUUUUUUGCAGCGCUUGGGGAUCUUCCUUGAGGCCCUGGGGGCUUCUUUCUAGUUGUGGCAAGGGGUUUAGUUGCCCAGUGGCAUUUGGCAUGUGGCAUCUUAGUUCCCCAACCAGGGAUUGAACUCAUGUCCCGUGCAUUGGAAAGCAGAUUCUUAACCACUGAACUACCAGAGAAGGCCUGAAUAGGGCUACUUUUAAUUAUGCACUUCCUCAAAACUAUGAAUCCAUACAUAGAAGACCAGAGAGAUACUCAAAAAUAUGUCACAGUUGUUGAUAACCUGGAAAAAGUUCCCACUGUCUAGAAGCUGAGGUUUGUUUGUCAUUUUACAUUUUAACAGAAGCUGGGAAGAAAUGUAUACUUUGACUUUUGUUCCUGAGUGAGACCAUCUCUCCCUACCCUCAGUCUUUAAGUGUUUUGCAGCAUUUGCUUCGACAGACUGUAAGCUGCCUUCUCUCAGACAAAGUAGGUUGAAUGGCCAGAACUACUUUGGCACUGCUGUUGACAAUUAUAAUUGGAACACCCAACUACAGCCCACUUGGAAGAGAACCUUACCCAGUGGAAGUGGCUCCAUCACUUCUGGAUCAGAGGCUCAUCUGUACAGAACUCAGACAGGACUUCUGAGGCAAUGGGCAGACACCAUCACUAAUAUAUGAAGCAGAAAGCAAGCUGCCAUCACCUAGCUCAGUAUAUGAACAAGACUUUUAUAGCCCUCUUCUUUUCCAUCUCAAUAACUCCCCACUGAAUGCCUUUAAACUCUUGGAAAUCCUGAAUUCCUUGUGUGUGUUCGUCACUCAGUUGUGUCUGACUCUUUGUGAACUCCAUGAACUGUAGCACUCCAGGUUCCUCUGUCAACGGAAUUUUCCAGGCAAGAAUACUAGAGUGGAUUGCCAUUCUCUUCUCCAGGAGACCUUCCCUACCCAGGGAUUGAACUUGGGUCUCCUUCAUUGGAGGCAGACUCUUUACCAUCUGACCCAUUCUUCCUCCUUCCAAAGCAUGUAAUUAUCUUGUCAUCAUAUAUGUCCCCUUCUCAGAUGUUCCCUUCCCAGUCUUGGUCAGUGUCUGGUUCAAAACUGUACCAGGGGUUCUUUGCCCUGGCUACACAUUAGAUUUAUCUGGUGUGGAGGGGCUUCUUGGACAUGUAGGUGCCCCACUGUUG
rnacentral:lncRNA from 1 species